rnacentral:rRNA from 1 species
GAAGCAAAUCCCGAAAAAGUAGUCUCAGUUCGGAUCGCAGGCUGCAACCCGCCUGCGUGAAGUCGGAAUUGCUAGUAAUCGCAGAUCAGCAUGCUGCGGUGAAUACGUUCCCGGGCCUUGUACACACCGCCCGUCACACCAUGGGAGUCGGUAACACCCGAAGCCAGUAGCUGAACCGCAAGGGAGGCGCUGUCGAAGGUGGGAUUGAUGACUGGGGUGAAGUCGUAACAAGGUACC